rnacentral:rRNA from 1 species
GGUAAGGUAACGGCUUACCAAGGCGACGAUGGGUAGGGGUCCUGAGAGGGAGAUCCCCCACACUGGUACUGAGACACGGACCAGACUCCUACGGGAGGCAGCAGUGAGGAAUAUUGGUCAAUGGGCGCAAGCCUGAACCAGCCAUGCCGCGUGCAGGAUGACGGUCCUAUGGAUUGUAAACUGCUUUUGUACGGGAAGAAACACUGAUUCGUGAAUCAGCCUGACGGUACCGUAAGAAUAAGGAUCGGCUAACUCCGUGCCAGCAGCCGCGGUAAUACGGAGGAUCCAAGCGUUAUCCGGAAUCAUUGGGUUUAAAGGGUCUGUAGGCGGUCUUGUAAGUCAGUGGUGAAAGCCCAUCGCUCAACGGUGGAACGGCCAUUGAUACUGCAGGACUUGAAUUACCGGGAAGUAACUAGAAUAUGUAGUGUAGCGGUGAAAUGCUUAGAUAUUACAUGGAAUACCAAUUGCGAAGGCAGGUUACUACCGGUGGAUUGACGCUGAUGGACGAAAGCGUGGGGAGCGAACAGGAUUAGAUACCCUGGUAGUCCACGCCGUAAACGAUGGAUACUAGCUGCUGGGGGCGACUUCAGUGGCUAAGCGAAAGUGAUAAGUAUCCCACCUGGGGAGUACGAACGCAAGUUUGAAACUCAAAGGAAUUGACGGGGGCCCGCACAAGCGGUGGAGCAUGUGGUUUAAUUCGAUGAUACGCGAGGAACCUUACCAAGGCUUAAAUGCAGACUGACCGGUUUGGAAACAGACCUUUCGCAAGACAGUCUACAAGGUGCUGCAUGGUUGUCGUCAGCUCGUGCCGUGAGGUGUCAGGUUAAGUCCUAUAACGAGCGCAAC